rnacentral:rRNA from 1 species
UCCGGUUGAUCCUGCCGGACCUGACUGCUAUCGGAUUGAUACUAAGCCAUGCGAGUCAUUGUAGCAAUACAAGGCAGACGGCUCAGUAACGCGUAGUCAACCUACCCUAUGGACGGGAAUAACCUCGGGAAACUGAGUAUAAUGCCCGAUAGAACACUAUACCUGGAAUGGUUUGUGUUCCAAAUGAUUUAUCGCCGUAGGAUGGGACUGCGGCCUAUCAGUUUGUUGGUGAGGUAAUGGCCCACCAAGACUAUUACAGGUACGGGCUCUGAGAGGAGUGGCCCGGAGAUGGGUACUGAGACACGGACCCAGGCCCUAUGGGGCGCAGCAGGCGAGAAAACUUUGCAAUGUGCGAAAGCACGACAAGGUUAAUCCGAGUGGUUUCUGCUAAAGGAACCUUUUGACAGUCCUAGAAACACUGUUGAAUAAGGGGUGGGCAAGUUCUGGUGUCAGCCGCCGCGGUAAAACCAGCACCUCAAGUGGUCAGGAUGAUUAUUGGGC